UGCAUUUAUUAAAACCUUCCAUUUCAUUUUUUUCAUUUGUUAAAAUAUCAUCAACUACCGGUUCACUUAUUACAUAACAUUUGUACAAUCAGUUCUAAGCAAAUAAAUGAGAAAGAAGCAUUCAAAUCACUCAUACAUACAUACAUAGGUCCUCAUCGGCCUUUCAAACUGAAGAAUCAAUGGUUUGAAAUGUAGAAGGGCAUUUGGAACUGAAUGUUUGAGAUUGAGGGCGGUUGGGCUUGGAUUCUCCGCGGUUGAAAAACUUGGUUGUCCAUGAUGGUGGAGAAACACAAGUACACCUGGGGCAAAGCUCAAGUGCAAGAUUGAGCAGACCAGUGCAAGCUUUCAGGAGUCUAUAAUAUAGCGGGGAAUAUGAGAGCGCAAAAAUAAUAACUGGGAGGAAUGCAACCGAGUAUAGGACAAUUUUGGUCCACCUUUCCUUAUUCUGUAUCAUAAGGAUGACUGUUGCACCAAAUGCCACCAUCAUCAUCGACACGGAAAGGAUUAAAAACGUAAAACCGAGCAUCAGCUUUCGAAGAAGAGACUUCUUGAAGUCUUGUAACUGAAAUGGAGAUGUGAGGAUUGAGAGAAAUGUGAUGACAGAUGUCAAGGCGUAAGUGAGGGAGAUUACAUCAGCCAGGGUGAAAACCACGAAGAAUGGUUGAGAAAGGAGGAGUGGGAUACCAGUGCUUUGAUUUGGUCCUCCUGGUAUAGUGUAGGCUGCAGCAAAGGCAACGGUAGCAAUAAGAACAGCCACAAUGGUGCAGUUUUCAGCGGUGCGCUUCAGCCAUUCUUUGGCUUCCUCAUGAAGUUCACAGUAGUUGGAAGCAAAUAAUUCAUCUGCAGUCUGGUUGUUAUGGUUGAAGACCUUGAGGAAAUGGGAUUUAGAGUAUUCCUUCACACGCUGCAUAUAGAAGAAAAACCACAUGAACCAGUAGUACUCUCAUUUUUGGGCCAUUAUCAUCAUAUUAACUCAAGCUACUGGAUCAUGGACCCUAACAAGAUUAUGAAUGGGGUAGUGGAAGUGCACCUCAAACAAGAGCAACUCCUCUUGCAAUUGGAUUGCAGGGGAUCGUGUUUUUCUCGAGACGUAGCGUUUUCCUUUCUUUCCAAUCAUAUGCAGAAUGGAGUUCCCUUUAGUGUCUGUUGCCCGUAGUAGCCUCCUGGCUGGCAUUUCCAUCUCAACUACCAUAUCAAAAAUCUCUAUCUGGCGGUAAUUGAUCGCUACAUGAAGUAUGUUCCUUCCUUGGUCAUUAUAAUGCUCAAUUGCCUGAGGGUAUUUCUUGAGUAUUUCACUGACAAUCUCUGGAAUGCCUGACAUUGUUGCUAAAAACAAUGGAGUUUCCUUGUUCCUGAUAUUGUUGAAUCUAGUUCUAUUGCCUUUUGGAGAGGUUUUUCCUUUCUUAUCAUCUGGGUGCUGCAGGACAAUAGAGGGCUUCACUUUUUCCCUUUUUUUUGAUGAUACCAAUGAUCCUCCUCCUUUCUCUUGCACAGAAAUGGGCUUUGUAGGCACACCUCGGUCCACUGCUUGAGGAUUCGUAGCCUCCCAUGAAGUAUCACUUUCUAGUAACUUACUGGCAAGUUCGCAAGCUGCUUCAUAUCUAUGCUUUUCUUCCAAAAGUGCUUCCCAAAUGGGCCAUCUAAAGCGUGAUUUAGCUUUUCAAUAAAAUAAAAGUCAGUAGUUCCCUUAUAUUUAGCAUGAAAACUUCUCAAGAACGAAGAACAAUAAAUUCAAAUGCUUCAUAUGAAUGACAGCGCAAACGACCCUCUAUUGAUAAUACUAAGAAAAGAUUUUGUGUAAGUAAAAUUCCAGGUUCUUUUUACACAGAAGCUUAAGGAAAAAACCUAAAUUCAUUUAAUUUGUUGAAGUUAAGACUAUGUUUGAUAACUAUUCUUAAAAAUAGUUUUUUAUUUUAUUUUUAUUUUUAUUUUUUAUAGAAAAUUUAGAAAACAUAUUUGGUAGGCUUUUGAUACAAAAUAGUUCUUUCAGAGUUUAUUCUCAUAACAAGUUAUUUUUUAUAAUAAAUUUUAAGUAUUUUUAAUUAUUUUUAUGCUUUAAACAACCAUUAGAAAGAUGGAGAAUACUUUGAAAAUAUUUGCAUUGUAGGCGGGUGUAUAAUAACUUUAUAUAGAGAAUAAGCAUGUAAAAUUGUUUCCAUAUACAUUUGAGUUGAUAAAUAAAAUUAUUUUCAAAAAUUGUUUUUUGAUAAUUAAGAACUAUUUAAAUAAAAAAAAAUUGUUUUUAAAAACAUUUAACUGAGAAUUAUUCCCAAAAAUUGUUUUUUUUUUUAAUAUUAAUUGUCUUAAAAAAUGUUAUGAAGCUCUCAAAUGUUCCUUUAAAAAAAAAAAAAAAAAAUUACAGUUUUAAUGGGACAAAAAAAGAAAAAAAGAAAAAAAAAAUAACAUUCAAAUAUGCCGUGAAUCUGUCCUAGUGGAGGGCUAAUUAAACAAAUGGUAAUUUUCUUUGUAUAUCAGCAUUUAAGACAUUAGACAAAGAAAUAAACAGUAGACUAUCAGAGUCCCAAGAACCUACCAUCAGAUUUAAGAUCUUGACACCGACUUCCCCUGGCCUUGUUUGAAAUACCUGAAAAACGCUUGGUUGGUAUGAAUUCCACGAUGUAAUUCUUCAGGGAAAAAAACAAAAAGACCAUGGAAAGUGAAAAACAGAUAGUAUGACAAACAGAAAGACUGGACGAACCUGGAAAACCUUUUCUUAGUUCUGUCAAAAGGAAGAAAAAAGAAAGGCAUUGAUAUUCAAUUUGCUAUUCCCAAAAGGAACGUAAGCCAAAGCCAUACCAAGGCAAGGACUACAAGCCCUCUUCUGAUUUUUAAACAACUUUUCAAAGUAUUUGGGCACAUACUGAAAACCCUUAUGAAAAUUAUAACAGUGCCAAAAGAAUUUAAUUAAUCCAGUGAGUGGAGAAGAGAAUAAAGAUACUAUACAAGAGUAGAUGAAUCGCCUCAGAUGUCCGUGUUCGCAUCCACUGAGAAAUGCCGAUGGGUUGCAUGCUAGAUGUUGAAGAGCCGUCAUUUGGUUAGAGUCCCAGGCGCUAAUUAAAUCUCCGUAUCUUUCCGCAAUCAACAGCGCCAAGUCUGUUCACAUAGUUUUUUACAGAAAUUAAAGAAACAACUAUAUUAGCACUAGAUUAGAGGUACAAAAGUGGAAAUCAACUCAAAAUUGAAUCUCAAUUAAUUAAGAUUUUCACUAAUUAAAAUACUUGUGAGGUAAUCCAUCUUCUUCCUAGUGGUUUACUGAGAACUCACCAAAAUUCUCAGUAAAUACGGAAAUAUGGAGAAUAGUUGUUCCAUCUUUCCUCUGCAAACAGGCUUUACGAUCUUCUUCAGUUUCAAAAUCCAUACGGUCAAGCUUCUCAGCUAGUAGCUUGAACAUUUCAUCUUUCCCGUACCGGACCGCUCGAAAGAGAGGCGUCUCUCCAAGGAUGUUACGAGCAGUAAGCAACUUCGGAGUUCUGUUCAAUAUUUCAGUGGCAACGUCAGUCAUGGAGUUGUUAGUGGCUACCUCGUGGAGGAUAGUGUUGUCCACAUCGUUUUUGGUGUUGGUGAGUCGGUCGUUAAGACUGGGGGGCAACAGUUUCAGUAACUCGAGAGCGAGAUCUCGCUGCUUGGAGUAACAGGCCAUAUGGAGAACGGUGUCUUUAUGUAUGGUGAUUGUGUGCAAUGGACCUUCGUCCUUUGGAAGUCUUUCGAAGCAAUCCAGCACAUCCUUGGAGUUCUUCUCCAUCAGAGCACGGUACAAAUCUCCGUUGAGUUGGUGGAUGCCUUUGGCCUUAUCCAUGUCCGCCAUGGGAGGUUCUUCAGAGAGGGAGACCAGAAUGGGCGUGUGGCUCGGAUGCAGUUGUACAUAAAAAAGAAUUAAAUUGUAAUGUGGAUAUUGCCUUUGAUGAUCCUUGUGAAUCUCGUGAUGAACAAUGAUUUUUUUCCCCAACUUAUUAAUUCUCAUUAGGGUAAGAUAGGACGAAUUACCUAACAACUUAAAUUUUGUAUGUAAAUAGACAUGCAUUUUUAUAUUAUUUUUAAUUAUUUAGAUAUUAUACUUUACACAACAUUUAAGGUUUCCUAAAUGUAAUCCAAUUUUAGAAUUUCUAUAUAAUAUUGUUACAUUUUUAUUUUGUUAGAGACAAGUUUUUAUUUAUGCUACAAAGUAGUUCAUCAUCUUUUCACUAAGGGAUUAAGGUAUUUUUUGGGAAGCAUUAUUUAAAAUAUUUUUAAGAAUAUUUUUUGAAAAUUGUUCUAUAAUAUUUUUAAAACAAAAAGUGUGUUUGAGAACUUUAAAUAUUUUUAAUUUAUUUUUUAUAUUUUUAAAAAUAACUUAAGUGGUGUUUGUUUUUUGGUUGAAUAGAAAAAACCAAAUAUUUUGACUUUUUCUAUUCACCUAAAAGUAACUUAUUGACAUCAACCAACAUCAUUAAACUAAAUUUAUUGAUAAUAAAUUCACUUUACCUAUGUUGGAUAGUAUCAACAAGUUACUUUUAGCUAAAUAGAAAAAGUCAAAAUAUUUAGCUUUUUCUAUUAAGCCAAAAAACAAACACCAUCUUAGAUAUGUAAUGCAUUAUUUUCAAUCAUUUUCUAUAUUUAUAUAAAUAUUUUUUAAAAAGAUAACUAUCAAUUAAAAAAUGACAAAACUAAAAAUAACUAAACCAUAUUCUUUGAAAACAUCUCAGUGCCUAUUUGAUAAUUGUUUUUAAGAACAAUUUUUUGUUAUUUAAAAAAAAAAAAAGAAAAACAUAUUUAACAACCAACAACUGUUUUAUAACAUAUAGAAUAAUUAAAAAUAAAAUAUUAGACAUAAAAAUUAUUUUUAAAAUAUAUUUAAAAAUAUUUAAAAUAUUUUAGGUUUUCAAAUAGAUUUUUCUUUUACAAAAUAUUAUAAAAUAAUUUUCAGAAAUUGUCAUCAAAAAUUGCUUUUUAUAACUGUUUUUCAAAACGUUGUCAAACUAGCUCUUAUUUUCUGCUUUCUAAUUCUCAAAAGUAUUUUCCCCUUUCCUGUUUUGGGAAGGGAAAAUUGUUUUAAAAUACAGUUAUGAAAUAGGGCUAAAUUCCUAUUUACAUCCAUAAUAAUUUGAACUGCCUAUAAUAUCACUUUUGCUAAUCAGUAAGAUCUGUUGGUGUGGUUGGUAGGCCAUGAACAGUUAUUUUGCUUUAAGACAUUGGCCAGUGCAUGCACCAUUCUACAAUGCACUGAGUCACGGACAGAGCAUCUUGUCCUUAAUGUCCAGUGCAUGCACCAUUCUACAAUGCACUGAGUCACGGACAGAGCAUCUUGUCCUUAAUGUCCAGUGCAUGCACCAUUCUACAAUGCACUGAGUCACCGACAGAGCAUCUUGUCCUUCCGUCGUAAAAGUCCAAUCUAUACGGAGAUGAAGGUGAUAAUAACAACGUCAAUUUUCAAUAGUGGACCCAUCCGAAACUGAGAAUUCAUUGAAGGCAGUUCUCAUCAUCAUUUCUGAGCCUACAAAUUCAAGCUAUCAUCGCCACAUCUGCCACCACCCCUCCACAAAAACCCGUCCAAAACCGCAACAUUGAAAAAUCCCUUGUGGUUAGUUCAAAUGCCGGACCCCAAGUGGAUAUUGGCCGAUCCCCAGAGUGCCGACUGCAUGGCAGCUGCAAGGUGGGCUGCGACGAGCGUUAAUAUGACUCUCAUUCCUCUAGUACAGAACUUAGAUAACGAUCACUUGUUUGAUUACCCUUACUUUUCUGAAUAAGCCAAAAAGGAUAACGAUCACUUGUUUGAUUACCCUUACUUUUCUGAAUAAGCCAAAAAGGAGAAAUUAAUGGACAUGUAGCUGAUUGACAACUAAUUGAUUUGCAUUUUAUUUAAAAAGUAUUUUAAGUGAGAUUUUGUCUCAAUAUGGGAUUUAAAAACAAAUCUUUUAUUUUAAAAAUGAAACAUUGUUUUUUAAAAUGUAUGGUCUUGCGAGGUUGUUAGUAGGGGUCUCCAAAAAGCCCACGGCCCGCGGCCCGCUUUAGGCCCGGCCCGGCCCGAGCCCGUUUAUGGGCGGGCCGGGCCGCGGGCCUAAAUUUAGGCCUGGCCCGGCCCGUAGGCUUGGCCCGUAGGCCCGCCCGUAGGCCCGGCCCUUAGGCCCGCCUUUAAUUUUUAAAAAAAAAAUAAUAUACUAUAUUUUUAUAUAUAUAUAACUAAUUCAUUUAAUAAGCAUAAAAGAAAUGUAGCUCAGUUGGUUAGAGCCUUGAAAUUUAAGCUUGAGGGGAGGGGUUCGAAUCCCCCCCUCUUCCUUCCUUUAUUUAAAAGCCAUUUUGGCUUAUUUAAAAAAGCCCGCGGCCUGGCCCGCGGGCCCGGCCCUCCCAGCCCGCCAGACCGCUAGCCCGCGGGCUCAUAGGCCGGGCCGCGGGCCUAGCAUUUGAGCUCGGCCCGGCCCGUUGACCAGUCAACGGGCCCAUAGGCCCGGGCCGGCCCGGCCCGCCCGUUGGAGACCCUUAGUUGUUAGUAUAAAAAAGGAAGAUAAUUUUCAAAAAAUAAGAAGAUUUUUUUUUCAAUUAUUUCCUUAUAAUAAAAUAAAAACAUGAAUUUUUUCAUGAAAAAAAAGUAAACCAUAACAAACAAAGAUAAUCUUUAUUUUCUUGAAUUUUUUUUUUGUGAACUCCAAAUAAUAGUAAAUUAAACCCAUUUGAUUGAUUCAAUUAAUAUUAAAAAUUUAUUAAUUGAAAUUGAUUUAAAAUAUUCUACCAAUUCUUCUUUGAACAUAAUUAUAAUUUUUUAAUUUUUUUUUAUUAAACAAAUAGAUUUUAAAUGAAACUAGAUUUUACGUAUUCCAUUGAUUAAAGAGGCUUGUCCCUUUUUAAAAUAAAGAUUCUUCCGUAGUCUUGGGAAAAAGUUCUCUCACUCCUUUCAAACACCUUUCUUAGCAAAAUGUGGAGAAGGGUUAUUGGAAAUGAGUGAAAUUGAUGUCUUUUAUCCCUUGAAACUUCUAAGCAUUUGGUAAAAUUUUAAAUUUGUAAUGUUUAAUAAUUUAAAUAAUUUUAAAUUAAAUUAUGCUUAAAUUUUUUAUAUGAAUUUUAGUAUUUAAUUAUUACUUAAAUAUUAAGGUUGUUUACCAUAACCAAUUUAUUUAUUUAUUUUUAAAAUUUUAUUACUUAAUUACCACUAAAAAUAAGACUUAAAAGGAUGACAUCGGGUAAAUUUGUAUACUUUUCUUUCAAUUGUGAAUUUGUUCAAAUCCCAUGGUUUUUAUAUCCAUAUAAUCUCAGGAGAUUGUGUAGAUGAUUUUCCCCAUAAAAAUCAUUUGUUAUAUGGUUGAUUUCUCUAUUUUAUUUCAUAAGUGUUAAAGAGAAAUUAAAAAUUAAAAAUUCAGGUUAAAACGAAGUAAAUACUUAUUCACAAAAAUUAAAAAUAUUGGAUUAAAAAGAAAUAAAUACCUAUUCACCUCUUUAGGCAUUUCAUAAUUAACAUCUAUAAGUAGCUAUUUAUUACUAUACCUAUAAACUUUCAAAUAUUACAAACUUUUUACAAAAUUAAAAUAGAAAAAUUAUUUUUGAAAACAUAAGAACAAUUUUAUUUUCUUAUUUGAAAAUGGAAUUUUAAAAAGAACUUCCCAAACACUCUUAUUUGGUGUAAAAUAUGUAAUAAUCACAUUAGGGAGGAUUACUGUAUGAUAUUAUUAGAUUUACGAUGAUUAAAGAUACUUGUUCACACAAAGAAGAGUGAUGGUCGUCUCACAAAUUUGAUUUCCUAUAUCAAUAUUUGUUAUAUUUUCUAUGAAAGGUACAUUUAUGGGUGAAGAAGGUUAUAGUCAUAGGUUCCAUAAUUAUAGAGGGGGGAAUCGAGGAAACAUUAUGAAUGAAAAAGAAACGGACUCCACUACUAAGUGGUUCUGAAUGUCUGAAUGAGUAAUGAAAUAUCAUUUGGUCCCUAGAAACUGGCUCUCAUUCCUCUAGAAUUUACUUAGAUAAUGAUCACUUGUUUGAUUAGCUUUGUUUUAUUGAAUAAGCCAAAAAAAAGAAGCUAAUUGACAUGCACCUAAUUGACAAACAUUUAAGUGAGAAUUUGUUUGAACAUAUGAUUUGAAAACAUUUUUUUUCUUACUUUAAAAAUAAAACACCGUUUUUUAAAAUGCAUGGGCUUGGUUAGGUUGUUAGUCUCAAAAAAUAUUUUUUCAUAACAAAAUAAAAGGAUGGCAAUUAUCAAAAGUUAAGAAGUUGUUUUCGAUUAUUUCCUAAGAAUAAAAUUAAAACAUGAAAAUUUUUAAGAAAAAAAAGAAGUAAACCAUAAAAAACAAAGAUAAUAUCUAUUCUCUUGAUUUUUGUAUUUAUUGGAAAAACAAACUCUAAAUAAUGCUAAAUUUAAUGCAUUUAAUUUGUUAACAAUUUUAAUAAUUUAUACAAAUAAUUUAAAACAAAAAAAUUAAUUCAAUUAAUAUUAGAAAUGUAUUCACUAAAAUUGGUUUAAAAUGAUUCUAUUGAUUUCUUCUUUGAACAUAACUUUUUUUUUUCAUUAAAUAAAUAGAUUUAAGAUCAAACAAGAUUUUAUAUGUUGGAUUGGUUAAAGAGUCUAGUAAUUUUUUAAAAUGAUUUGUAUUUGAAGUUUAGUUACUUAUCUCUUCAUAUUUUUAUGACUAUUACUAGAAAAUAUGAAAGUUAUGAAAAAAAAAAAAAAUUACAAUGGAUAAGAGGACCUCCUUUUUUUUUUUAUGUUUUUUUUUUUUUUACUUAUCUCUUCAUAUUUUUAUGACUAUUACUAGAAAAUAUGAAAGUUAUGAAAAAAAAAAAAAAAUUACAAUGGAUAAGAGAACCCUUUUUUUUUUUGUUUCGGUGAUCAAGAUUUAUGCAUUAACAAACAAAGUUCAAAUCUUCUAAAAACGGGUAAGGUUGAUUUUAAAAGAGUUUAAAAUUUAACAAAAUUUAUUUGAACUAAUUUAACAAAAUUCAUUUGACUCACUUGAAAUAGGAUUACGUCAUUGAUCUUUAUGCGACUUUGAUCCUUGGACUCCACCCGUACUUUACUAUUGUAUUCAGUAUAUCCUGAGAGGUUUGUAAAAUCAUCAUUAUUCAUGAAAAUAGAUGUAAACAUUAACAAUUAAUGAAAAUUGUUAGAAAACUAAACUUACACAAGACAACAUAUAAUUGACUAAUUUGAGAGUAUGUUUAAUGCAAACAUCAAGUUUAAGAUAUGAUUUUUGCCCUUAUUACCAUGCAAUUUAUGACAUCAAUUGCAAACAUACAUGAUGGAAGCAUAUUGAAAAAACCAUAAUAAUUCUAUUUAGAAAUAUCUAAGUUGUUCUAUACUAAGAGAUGAAAUUCUGUUUGACGUUUUGAAAUGUACAUUUGUGAUAACAAUUUAAGUUAUCUAUGAAGUGAUUGAAUUGACAUGGGAGCACGAGAGUUGAGGUUUACAUUAUUGCUUCCGCAUUCAUAGACAUUGGAAUAAUGAGUGUUCAUAAUAAUAAUUUAUGACAAUUUUCUUUUCCUAUUUCUAAGAUUAGCAUUUUGAACUAAUUUUAAAAAUCAUAUCUAAUAAUUUAUUUUUGAAAUUUAAUAAUAAAAAUUUAAGUAAUAAUAAUAAUAAUAAUAAUAAUAAUAAUAAUAUAUUGAUUCUCAAACAUUUUAAAAACAAAAAUAUAAAAACAAAAUUUUUAUUUUUUUAACAAAUUAAUGAUAUGGGUGUCUUACAUUAAGUCAUUUUUAAUUUUAAUUUUCAAUAUUAUGUUAUUUUAUGAAACGCCCUUUUAUUAUACUUAACCUAGUAUCAAGAAUUAAAUAAUUUAAAUCAUAUUAAAUUGAUUUAGCAAAUACUCACUCAGUGUUGAAAAUAAUAAAAAAUUGAAACUUGUUUUUCCCUCCUUUCUUUGUAUGGCAUUUAAAAUGCGGGCUAUCAUUUUGGGACAAAUUCUUCUUGAUUCUUCAAUUUAAUUUUGCCAGUUGAAUGACGUGCCAAAUACUAUUGGGUCCUUAUUUUCCUCCACCCCAUUGGCAACCACAUGGCCAUUGGGUUUUGCCCCUUUCCAUCUUCUCAACAAGUUUCAACAGUUGAUGAAACAAUUUCCAUCUUAAAUUUCUAUAUUAUUUUUAGGUUGAAGAACACUGAAUUUCGUAGAUAUCAUCAACAAAUAUUUUACUUUUAUAAAUUUAUUUGCUUUAAUAAUUUAAAUUUAUAAGCAAAUAAAUAUUCAAUAAUGUGCACAUUCAUUUUUAUAUUAUUCUAAAUUAUUAAAGCUUUAUAUUUUAAAAAAUAUGAAACAACAUUUAAGAUUUUUUUAAAUAUAGUUCAAUUGUAGAAUUUCUAUAUUACUUUUUUUUUUAAUUUUAUAAAUGAAAAUAUGUUUUAAUUUAUGCUACAAAGUAACUCAUCAUCUUUUAUUUAAAAUCAACUUAAGUUAUUAAGAGUGUGUUUGAGAAUAAUUUUAGAAAGCGUUUAUAAUAUUUUUAAUACUUGAAUGAUAAAAAUUUUCAAAUAUCAUAAAUAUUAAAAGUAUUUUCUACUUAUAAAUAAUAAAUAUUAAAUUUUACCCCAUAUUUUAUUAGUUUAAUAAUUUGUUAUAUGUUUCAAAGCUGUUGCUUGAAAAAUCAUUAGGUAUGAACCGAAAAAAUCAUUAGAUAUGAAUAUGGAGAGGUGUGACAUGUUAUGCACAGGAUGUGAUGCUUUUGAUGAUGUCAUGGUAGUGACAACAUGGCCAUGCUAUCAUGUGGGUGAUAUGAGUUGGAGUCAUGGUAUGAUCAUGUUGCCAUUAGGGAGCCACGUGAAAUGAAUUAUUUAUAUUAUUUAUUAGGUGUGUGGUUAACAUAUUUCCAAUAGGACCACUGAAAAUUGAAAUGAUGGAUUUAACCUUCUUGAUGGGAAAUUGGAGCUUCUUGCUAGAAGACAAUGGAUGGUUAAUUAUAGAUAUUGAUAUUUUUCAUUUUUGUAAUUACCGGAUAAUAAUGGGUCUUGGUUUGACAAUGUGCUUCAAAAGUUCAUUAUCCUCAUCAAUUUGGACAAUUUUUCUUGACUCUUCUUAAUGGCCAUUGAUUCCGAGGACAUUACCAUGCUAAAAUGUGAUGGUCAAAUGCCAAUAAUUAAGAAGGAACUUCUUUUAAAAGAUUAGAAAGUUGCUGGUCAGUAGUUAGAUUAAUCCAUCUAAAACCCAAUUUGCUUGUUUAAAAACAUGUAGUAAAUCCCAUAUUAUUUAUAUAAAUAUAUUUAAUAUUCCAAUUUUUUUGAACUUAUUUAAUAUUUUAACUUUAUAUAUAUUCACAUGUAGAUUUGUAGUAUUUGAUUUUUUUUUUUUGUUUGAAUACGUAGCUUGAUAAAAAUUAAUUAUUUUUUAUAUGUACUUACGAUAAGGAAAUAAAAAUACUUUUAGGUUAUGUUUGGUUCUUGGAAAAUUUGGAGGAAAAUGUGAAGGAAAGAAAAAAUAGAGGUAAAGUGGAAGAAAAGAAAAUACGAAAAAAAUAAAAAAUAAAUUCAAAAUUAAUAAAUUAUUUUUAUAUGUUUUUUCAAACUCAUUUCACUUAAUUUCCUUAGAUAAAAUAAUUUUAAAAUGUAUAGAUUUUUAAUUAAUUUUAAUUAUAUUUAAUUUUCUUUAGAAAAUUUAUUAUGAAAUCAAAUAUGAAAAAAUAAUUUUCUUUUACAUUUUUUUUUCUUUUCUUGGUGCUUUUCAAGAGCCAAACAUAACCUUAUAUUUGUGAUCCUAAAGAGAAAAUAAGGCUAAAAAUUUUCAAAUAAAUUUGUCUACAUCAAAUAAAAUUACAAGGAUUUCAUUGUCAAACCCCACUCAUGGUUUGAAAGGAAAAAUGAUUUGGGAAGACAAACAACAUUCCAUCUCUUCCAUUACACAUGAGAGGCUAAUGUCUCAAGGACGAAGGAUUGGAAAAAUAGAGAAAAAUUGGCCCCUUACGAGUGUCUUGUUCUAUGCUAAUUCCGAACUUUUAGUACAAACUAAGAAUACUAGCGAUUUCAAGUUGGUUUUAGAUUCACUUGAAAUAAUUUUUUUUUUCCAUAAAUGUAUAAUUAAAUACAUGAACUCUACUACAAACCGUUGAAAACAAAAAACACUCGACUAGCAAAUGGUAUAAACUAUCAAGCUUGGCACACGCCAUAGUGCAAAGGGAGGCUAGAUGAAAUGAUUAGAGAAAGGUAAUAGGCAAGACAUGAAGAGAAAAAGCGACUAAAGUUCAUUGUAAUGAUGGCUACGGAGAAGAGAUCUUAUGAUCCUAGAGAUGAUUUUUGAGUCCAUGGUUGAUAUGAUAAUGGCAAAUUAACCAGAUUGAGGAACCAAAGGAUAUUCAUGGUUUUCCAUCCCAAAGAGUCAUAUAUGUUAGAAACGCUUCCAAGUAAGAAAAAUUAAGUCAUAAUCAGGAUUGAAAUUCAUUAAAAUUGAGUGAUGUUAUAUAAUAUUUUGACUUAGAAAUUUAGGUUAAAAUUAGGUUAAAAUUAUGCUGCUUUUUCAUAUUUUUUUCCCUCAAAUAUAAGUAAAAUUAAAUAAUUAAAAGCCAAUCUACAUCACCACUUAAAAAGGGGUUCCCAGCACACACUUAGAUGAUUUUAUUUGUUUAAAAAAGGUUGGACUAACAUUACAACCACUAUUCCUCGCCAAUGUCUUUCCACCCGAAGAGUUAUUUUAUUUAGUACACUACUACUCCAGUGAUUCCCUCUUGAGAAGGACUUAUUUAGCUAAACGAGAUUUAUAGUUUACAUGUAUAGGGCUAGAAUCAUGUUGAAAUUUAUUUGCUUUUAUUUGCUUUCCAUGUAAAGCAUCCUUGUAAAGUCUAUAUAUAAUAUACAAAACUCAAGGCCAAGGUAUUCAGCCAUUCACACAAUAUUUUGACAUGGUAUCAGAGCAAGGUUGCUAAUUUUUCUUCCCUCAAAUUCUUUUCUGUGUUUUCUGUCAAGUCUGUGUUGAUCCGUACUGCACCCAACCACAACCAUUUUUCUUAGUAUUUCUGUGGCUGUCGUGGGUCAGUUUUCUUCAAGGAUUUUUUUGGUCAAUCCUUUUGUCUCGGGUUCUAUUUAUUUUCUAUGGAUUCCGCACCUCUGUGUGUUAAGUUUACAUGCACAAAUUAUUCUACCUGGGCAUUUCAGUUUGAACUUUUUCUCAAGGGAAAAGACCUUUGGGGUCAUAUUGAUGGCACGGAUGUUGAAAAACCAUCCACUUUUGACAAAUCUUAGGAUGUUGGGUUUUCUCCUUCAUGGGCUGUGCUUGAUGCACGCAUCAUGUCUUGGCUUCUUGGUUCAAUGGAGCCUCAUAUUGUCACCCACUUGCGGCCCCAUCGCUCCGCUCAAUCUAUGUGGGCUUAUUUGAAGAAAGUUUAUCAUCAGGAUAACGAUGCUCGUCGUUUUCAAUUAGAACAUGCGAUUGCCAUGUUUCAACAUGGUAGUCUUUCCAUCCAGGACUACUACUCGGCAUUUUUGACUCUUUGGCAUGAAUAUGCUGAUUUGGUUACAGUGGAUGUUCCUAUUGCCGCUCUCUCAACUAUUCAGACUAUUCACGCGACUACCCGGCGUGAUCAGUUUCUUAUGAAACUACGUCCAGAAUAUGAAUCUGUCCGCUCCUCUUUACUGAAUAGAUCUCCUGUUCCCUCUCUUGAUAUUUGUUUUGGUGGGUUACUUCGCGAAGAGCAACGCCUUAGUACUCAAGCUAUUUUGGAGCAAUCUCAUGGCAGUUCCAGGAUGACAACUGUAGCUUAUGCUACCUGAGGACGCGAACCACCUAUGCAUUCUAAAAACUUGCAGUGUUUUUGCUGCAAGGAAUAUGGGCAUAUUGCUGCCACUUGCCCUAAAAAGUUUUGUUCUUAUUGCAAGAAGAAGGGUCACAUUAUCAAAGAAUGUCGUAUUUGCCCCCAGAAUCGUCAGGCCCAAACAUUUCAGACUUUGGUUAUUGUCCCUCCUAUAGCAACUUCUGCAACACACGACUUUCCUUCAACUGCGUGCUCUGUUCCUGCACCUCCUGCACCAGAUUACUACACCCCAGAAAUGGUGCAACAGAUGUUAAUUUCAGCAUUAUCAGCAAUGGGGUUUCAAGGUACCAAUUCUACUAAACUUUGGUACGUGGACUCGAGGGCCUUUAAUCACAUGACUAAUAAUCCCACCGCUUUGUGUCAUGUUCGACCCUACACUAGUCAAUCUUCCAUUCAGACUGCCAAUGGCAGCUCUUUGCCCAUAGCUGCUAUUGGCGAUGCCUCUUCUAAGUUCACUGAUGUGUUUCUUACUCCUCAGCUUUCCACGAAUCUUAUUUCAGUUGGCCAAUUAGUUGAUAACAAUUGUGUUGUUAAUUUUUCUGGUAAUGGUUGUGUUGUGCAGGACCAGGUAACGGGGAAGCCGAUCGCAAAGGGACCUAAAGUGGGGUGCUUGUUUCCACUAUUUUUACCUGUUCCAGAUUUUUCUCCACUUUCUUCUAUUAAGUCUUUUGCUUGUAAUAAUGUUUCCGAUCUUAGUAUGGUGUGGCAUCGUCGUUUAGGCCAUCCCAAUACUCAGAUCUUAUCUCAUGUAUUGAACUCUGAUUUACCUGGUAAUAAGGAUCGUUAUUCUUUAUCUCUUGAGUGUGAUUCUUGCAAACUUGGUAAAAGUAAAACUCUUCCAUUCCCUUUGCAUGCAAGUAGAGCAUCUCACUGCUUUGAUCUUAUCCAUAGUGAUGUUUGGGGACCUUCCCCGAUUAGUUCACAUGAGAAAUUUAAAUAUUAUGUGACUUUCAUUGAUGAUCAUAGCAGAUUUACUUGGGUCUACUUUCUUCGCUUUAAAUCUGAGGUCUUUCGUACUUUCACUGAGUUUUUAGCGUAUGUUGACAAUCAAUUUUCUACUUCUAUUAAGACAUUACGCACAGAUUCCGGUGGUGAGUAUUUGUCUACUGAGUUUCAAGCAUUCUUGGCUUCUAAGGGUAUUAUUCAUCAACGUUCAUGUCCCUCUACUCCUCAACAAAAUGGAGUUGUCGAACGCAAAAAUCGUCAUCUUUUAGAUGUGGUACGUAUUCUCUUGUUAGAAUCUUCUGUUCCAUCCAUGUUUUGGGUAGAGGCUCUAAAAACUGCUACUCACUUGAUUAAUCGUUUACCUUCUCAAGUCCUACAUAUGGAGUCUCCCUAUUUCCGCUUAUUUGCUAAGCAACCUAGUUAUGAUCACCUUUGUAUUUUUGGUUGUGUAUGCUUUGUUCAUUUACCUCCUCAUGAGCGACAUAAAUUAUCUGCUCAAUCUGUUCGAUGUGCUUUCUUAGGAUAUAAUAUGUGUCAAAAGGGAUUUGUUUGCUAUGAUCCUACAUUACAUCGUACACGUAUUUCUAGGAAUGUUAUUUUCUUUGAAAAUCAACAUUUCAUUCCUAUAUCCUCUUCUACUGUGUCAUCCUCUUCUAUUGUGGUCCUUCCCUUCUUUGAGCAACAGUUCUCAGAUCUUCAUCCAGUCAGCUCUCGCUUUCAACCAGGUAUUGUGUAUACGAGACGCUCCCGCCCACAGUCUCUUUCGGUGGCUCACCCGAUAUCUGAUCCUACCACGCUCCAGAUGCAGUCAGUUGCAGCACCUUCAGUACGUCGCUCUUCUCGAGUGUCUGUACCUCCGAAUAGGUAUGGAUUUCCCUCUUCCAGUUCCUGCAAUUCUAUUUCAACCCUUACUGCUGCAUUGUCCAAAUUUGAUAUUCCCACAUGCUACUCACAUGCUGCUAAGCAUGAUUGUUGGCGACAAGCUAUGCAGGAAGAAAUUGCCGCUCUAGAGGCCAAUCACACUUGGGACAUUGAGCCCUGUCCUCCCACUAUUGUUCCUCUAGGUUGCAAAUGGGUUUACUCAGUCAAGGUCCGAUCUGAUGGAAGUUUGGAUCGUUACAAAGCUCGGCUUGUUGCACUUGGGAAUAAUCAGGAAUAUGGUGUCAAUUAUGAAGGGACCUUUGCUCCUGUGGCUAAAAUGACUAUUGUUCGUAUGAUUCUAGCUCUUGCUGCUUCCAGUUAUUGGCCACUACAUCAGAUGGAUGUAAAAAAUGCUUUUCUUCAUGGGGAUCUUAAAGAGUGUAUUUAUAUGAAGCCACCCCCGAGAUUGUUUCCCUCUUUGACUUCACAUGUGUGUAAGCUUCAUCGCUCUCUUUAUGGUCUCAAACAGGCUCCGAGGGCUUGGUUUGAUAAAUUCCGCACCACUUUAUUACAAUUUUCAUUCAGACAGAGCAAGUACAACACUUCCUUGUUUCUUCGGAAAUCAGAUAUGGGUAUUGUUGUUCUUUUGGUUUAUGUUGAUGAUAUUGUGAUCACUGGUUCCGAUUCUGCUUUACUUGGUUAGCUCAAAACUCAUCUCUCCGAGUCCUUUCAUAUGAAAGAUUUUGGGUCUCUCACAUAUUUUCUUGGUCUUGAGGUACAUCAUAGCCACUCUAGUAUUUCCCUCAAUCAACAUAAGUAUGCGAGUGACUUGGUGGCUACAACUGGUCUACAAGGGGCUACUUCUGUUGAUACUCCCAUGGAAUUAAAUGUCAAGCUUCGCAAAGAGGAGAGUGACUUACUUGCUGAUCACAGUUUAUAUAGGAAGUUGGUGGGUAGCCUUGUUUAUCUCACCAUUACUAGAUCGGACAUUUCUUUUGCUGUACAGCAAGUCAGCCAGUUCCUUCAGACUCCUCGUCAUUUUCAUUUGGCUGCUGUUCAUAGGAUCAUACGCUAUGUUCAAGGCACUUAUACUCGUGGCUUGUUCUUCCCUGCAGGCAAUUCUACUCGCCUUGCUGCUUAUAGUGAUGCUGAUUGGGCUGGUUGUGCGGAUACCCGUCGCUCAUCACUGGGUGGGUGUGUGUUCUUAGUGAUGCAUUGAUUUCUUGGAAAAGUAAGAANNNNNNNNNNNNNNNNNNNNNNNNNNNNNNNNNNNNNNNNNNNNNNNNNNNNNNNNNNNNNNNNNNNNNNNNNNNNNNNNNNNNNNNNNNNNNNNNNNNNGUCGCUCCAUCACUGGUUGGUGUGUGUUCUUAGGUGAUGCAUUGAUUCUUGGAAAAAGUAAGAAGCAAGACAGAGUCUCUAAGUCAUCUACGGAAUCUGAGUACCUGGCGAUGUCUCUUGUUUGUUCUGAAAUCAUUUGGCUUUGAGGUUUGCUUGCGGAGUUAGAUUUUUUUGAGAUCGAUCCUACACCUCUACAUGCCGAUUAUACAAGUGCUAUUUAGAUCACAACCAAUCUUGUCUAUCAUGAGCGCACAAAGCAUAUUGAAGUGGACUGUCACUCUAUCUGUAAAGCCUUUAAAGCUCGUGUUAUCAUUCUUCCACAUAUUUCCACUGACUUACAAAUUGCUGAUAUCUUCACCAAGGCUCUCCCUCGUCAUCGACAUUGCUUGCUAAGUAGCAAAUUGAUGCUUGUUGAUCAACCUGCAUCAAUUUGAGGGGGGCUGCCAAAGAACAGCUUUACUGUCCCUUCUUUCCUUAUUUUAGCCCACAAGCUGUCCACCCUUCUUUCCUUAUUUUAGCCCACAAGCUGUCCACACUUCCUUCCUUAUUUUAGCCCACACUUGCUGUCCACACUUCUUUUCUUAAUUUAGCCCACCAUUCUUUCCUUAUUUUAGCCCACAAUUGUUUCCUUAUUUCUCCAUUUAUUAUUCUGUACAGUUAGCAUAUAUUAUGUGACAGAUUAUAGUUUUCAUGUAUAGGGCUAGAAUCAUGUUGGAAUUUAUUUGCUUUUAUUUGCUUUCCAUGUAAAGCAUCCUUGUAAAGUCUAUAUAUAAUAUACAAAACUCAAGGCCAAGGUAUUCGACCAUUCACACAAUAUUUUGACACCGGUUAGUGAAGAAUAUUACUUUUCAUAGAAAAUGACUCAUAGCUUGCCUCCAUUAUUCUUCAUCUCUAGUUUCAGUGCUUAUUCAACAGGUGCUUUCAUUAAUUUGCCUUGGAAAGUAUCUGACUGGCUUUAAGAAAACAUGAGAGAUAUCAAAAAAAUUUACUAAGUAUAUAUAUGAAGAUACUUCUUUUUUUCUGUGCCAAAGUUUUGCCUUCAAAUUAAGUAAUUUUGGGGCUAUUGCAAUUACAUGUGUAAUACGUUCUGGUAGUCCCUUUCUUGGUAUAUUCAUAUUCAUGCUUUGAAUUAUCAGUUGAUACUUUAUCCUAGUUAACAAAGUAAAAUGGUGUCUGCCUUUUCCAAAAGCUGUAUUAAACUUUUCAUCAUUCAUCAAGAUGAUUGACAUCUUUUUCAAUAUGUUAUUAUCAUGCUUCUAGAGGUAUGGAAAAAAGGGUUUUCUUGCUGCUUCCAAGCAUCUUUCUAAGUGAUAUGUGGAGACAGGUUAUUGGAAAUCAAUUAAGUUGAUAUCGCAAUCUGUCAAUCUCAUCUUUCUAGCUGUCUCUCCCCCACCGUUGAACUUCAGUCUUGUCCACCAAUCUCAAUUAUUGGAAUGCUCUCCUUUACUUAAUCUCUUGCUUGUAAGGCAUCUCUACAAUAAGUUCAUUAUGUGAAUGCUUGCAACAAUAUCAAACCACCAAGAGUUUGGUAGUAUAUCAAUUAAAUAGAAUUCAUAAAACAAUAAGCAUUGAGUUUUACCUUUUCCAAUCAAGAUUGAAAACCAGAACAGUCUCUUCUUUUGUGACCUUUCUUAUGGUAAAAAUAACAUUGUAUCCUAUUUUCAUCAUUUUGCCCAUUGUGAGAUGCAUUAUUACUUGCUUAUUUUUCUUACCCAUGCCUUUCUCCAAGAAUUUUUUUUACUUGCAUGGAUUUACAAUAUUGAGAUGAGCCCUAUUGGGAUUUUCCACUUUAAGCCUUUCUUCUUCUUGAACACAUGACAAUUAAUUCAAUCAUUUUCCACUUAUCCUUCUAUGUAUUAUAAUUAAUUUUGAAAUAGCCAAAUUGUGAAGGAAUGAGAGUCAUUAUGAAGUGAAGGAUAAAACCUUCAGAAAUUAUCAUGUCUAUUCACUUCAAAUUGAGAAGCCAUAUCACUCAUCUUUACGAUGUGUUCAUAUACACCACUAUGAUCAUUAUAUUUCAUUGUUAUCAUUUUGAUUAUAAAAGUACUUGCUAAGGACUUGAAAAUUCUUAAGAGUUGUUCCUCAAGUAAUUUAAUAUAGUUUAUUGUAUUAUAUGAAUAGGUGAUUGCUUCGUAAAUGACAAGAGUGAUUGAACCUUUCAUCAUUAUUAGAUUCAUGUGAUUAGAGUGCUCCCACUUUUCAUAAAAAAACCUUUUGUUCCUUAGUGCUUUCAAAAGUAUACUUUGUUGGUGUAAGUUCUCUUAAGACAUAGUCUAAAUUGUUAUAGUCAAGAACAAUUCCAAUUCGUUUCUUUCUUUUUUCAAAGUUUGCCCCACUUAAUUGUUCAAUUCCAGACUAUCUAAUAGCAUUAGGAUUCAUUGUUGCAAAAAAAAAAAAAAAAAAACUAAUUCAUACAAAAUUAUUUUUAUGUCAUGAUAAUAUUUAACACUACACUUUACAAUAAUCUAACUACUACAAAAUUAAUUAAAUAUCACAUUAAUCAUAAGCGUAAGAGAUCAUAUCAUAAUUUUUUCAUUGGAUCAAACUAUAAUCACAUAACACAAAAAGUAUAUUAUUAUAAUCUUUCCCUUGGGUUGAAUUAUAAUAAUUUAUAAAUUAUAUAAAUAUGAUCUAACCAUUAAAGUAAAGGAAUUGAAACAUAAGGAAGUUUAACACCAAUGGAUUAAAACUUUAUCCGCCUUUUAUUAUUGAGCUUUUAUCAUAUAAUCAAAUAUAGUGAUGAUCCUCCAUUGGGUUGAUCUAAACAACAUAUAACAUAAUCAAUCACAAACAAACAAGUAAAUCAACAUACAUGCCAGAUAAAACCAUCUCUUGGAAUUUCCAUAGUCACAUGUUUAAAUUACUAAUCAUAAAUUUUUUCAUAAAAUCAUGCAAUAGAUAUGAUUAAAAUUAUAAAACAUUAUGUACAUUGAUACAUCAUUCAUAUACAUCAUGAUAUAUAUAUACUUUAAAGCAAUGAUCGUAUUCUUACCUUGAUCCAUGAUACCGAUAACGAAGUUAAAAUUAUAUUUAAGUUAUUAAUUUAAAACUUAUUAUCUAAUUCCUCCUUUAAAUAUUAAGGUUGCUUAUUAAAAUCAACUUAAUCUAAUUUUUUGAACUAUUAAAUAAACAUUCAUAUUAAGUAAUCAUGUUAUAAAAGAGAAACAAAGGAAAGCAUAGACAUGACCACUUAAGGUAAAGGAUGUUUACGAUUUAGAAAAAGUCAUUAUUUUAAUUAACUUAUUACAUUAAAUCAUUUUUAACUUUAAGUUAUAAUAUUAAUUUAUUUUAAUAAACAUACUUAAUAUACUUAACCAAUACCAUUAAAUCACUAAACCAUAUUAAAUCAUUGAAUUGAUUUAUCAAACACUCUUUUGGUACUGAAAAUAAUGAAAAUUUGAAGUUCAUUUGUUAUGUUUUUCUCACCUUUCUUUCUAUGGCAUUUAACCCUAUCAUUUUUGGAUCAAUGCUUCUUAAUCCUUUGUUUAAUUUUUUUUCCCUUAAAUGAAUUAGCAAUACCACUCAACAAGAGUGAUGGAAUAGACAUGACACCGGUAAAUGAAUUAGCAAUACUACUACACAUAGAAUUAUUUGUUUGUUUACUUUUCAAUCUUCUUACUCGGAACAUGUAUUAUUAAUGUUUUGUCUUCGCCAACAAAGCUAAAUGAUGUUCGGCCUUUUUUCCAAAAAGAGGCGCUGAACUUUUGUCAUCUUUUCCCUUUGUUAUUAUCAUUCUGAUAGUGGUUUUGGCCCUUUUGCUCGUCUGAAAUUUCUACAUUUUUCCUCUUAAGUUGAAGAAAACAGUGAUGCUUAAUUAGUUCCAUUGUUUUGCCUCCUUGGUGUUGGGUUUUUUCUGCAUUUAUUAAAACCUUCCAUUUCAUUUUUUUCAUUUGUUAACUUAUUACAUAACAUUUGUACAAUCAGUUCUAAGCAAAUAAAUGAGAAAGAAGCAGUCAAAUCAUUCAUACAUACAUACAUAGGUCCUCAUCGGCCUUUCAAACUGAAGAAUCAGUGGUUUGAAAUGUAGAAGGGCAUUUGGAACUGAAUGUUUGAGAUUGAGGGCGGUUGGGCUUGGAUUCUCCGCGGUUGAAAAACUUGGUUGUCCAUGAUGGUGGAGAAACACAAGUACAC
rnacentral:lncRNA from 1 species